ensembl:lncRNA
CUUCAACCACAGGCAUUUUCUCCUGGGAUUCAGAGGGGAAAGCACACUUCCACGAAUGAUAUAUCAUCGAAGAGAUAUGUGAAAAACACCUUGAGGAUUGGUCCUAAACAACGUUUGCCAUGUUUCAGUCGAUAUUAUGGAGUUAAUUUGGAAAAAAGUUAGACGUUUUGAAGACUGAAUUUUCGGGUUUUUUUGGUAGCCAAACGUGACGUACCAAAUGGAGCAAUUUCUCCUAAACAAAUCAUCUUUCAGGAAAAACGGAGCAUUUGCUAUCUAACUGAGAGUCUCCUCAUUGAAAACAUCUGAAGUUCUUCAAAGAGUUCACAAUCAUAAAGUUGUAGAAAUGCGACACACUUUCAUUGUUGCUAUUGCACGGCAACAAUAAUGAACAGAGCACAGUUUCUGAAGCACCUGACAUACCAUCAGCAUCCAGUGGCCCCUCAAGAGCACCCAGAGGCCCUUAAUAAACAGUGGCCAGUGGCCCCUCAAGAGCACCCAGAGGCCCUUAAACAGUGGCCAGUGGCCCCUCAAGAGCACCCAGAGGCCCAUAAACAGUCUCCAGAGGCCCCUCAAAAGCUUCGCCCCUCAAGAUCUUGUCGCCUGGACCUUGGAGGACUUUUGGUGUGGAUGAUGAUCAGUACGCUCUGUGCAUUGCAAUGAAAGCACAGUGUGACUUCAAUGAGGUCUGAAGAAGAGAGGUUGGAACAUCGAAAAAGGCGGCAAAAACAAAACACGCAGCAGUGUAUUUCAGGAUGAUGUAGAAGACGCCCCCAAGAUGUCACAGCACGUCACAUCAGCGUCCAGGUCUGCAGGAUCAGGAAGCAGAUGUUCUUCUAAGGGACACCCUAGAGACAGCAAGGUGAUGCGAACGCCCAACAUUUAAAGGCAUCGUUUCCCUCCCUAGUGUAAAUCAUAUGGAUGGGGAAGACCGCAUUACAACCCUUAAAAAACUAUGGUUGUAUGAUGGCCUGGAUGAAGAGGAAAAUAUUCUCCUCAAGUAAUCAUUCAUGUUUUCGUUUCAGUUAGAGAGAUUAUGAGAUGUUCUAUGUGGAGGCAGUUGACAACAAGAAAAUGAAUGUUUGCCUCUUUUGAGGAGCUGGAGUGAAGCCAUUUUUGAGGAGUGGUCAAACCUUGUUUUUGUCUGCUGUGUUAAUUGUUUCAAUUGUUAAUUGUGUUGUUUAGUAAAGAUGACUUAGAAGUCACCCGAGUCUCUGAUCUCUUCACUGGAGCUGGUAUAACUUAAUGUAAAGCACAUUCAGCUUGUCAGUAUGUCUAUAUGGUAUAGUCUGUCUCCAUUCUCAUGAAUUGCACUAUAAAUCAGGAUAGGUAGAAACUGUAUAUAUAUGCUCAAUUAAGUAAUGUAAUUACAAAGUCAUAACAUUUAUCAACACAAUUUUAACAGUACAUUACAUACAUAACAAGUCUGUUGUUCACUGCAACAAUAUCAAUAGCUUGUCUCAAAUAUAGCAUGAAGCAAAAAGUGUUACAACAUGUGCCGGUUCAGCUUUAUAUAAUAUUUCCCACAAUCUUCAAAAAUGAAAUACGUUUGUAUUCAACGUGUGCCUUGCACAAACAUGUGUGUUUGUAUUCAGUGUGUGACUCUCAAACCUCAGAUGGAC